UGAAUGCAUUGUAUAUCUGGAGUCUGGCUGAGGCAUAUUAAGGUCUAGCAAGGCUGAAGACACCAUCCUAAAAUGGAACCUGAAAAACUGCAUUACAGAGAACAAAGGAGGUGAAGAUUCAAUUAACUUUGGCAAGAAAGGUUUAGCUUCACAUAGCCUCUAAUUUUUGAAGACAAACAGUGUUCCAGAAAUAAUGCUGGUGUGAUACGUGGAAAAGUUUUAAACAAGACUUGUGUUUGGUCAGAGAAAGGAAGCCAGGCUUGGCACAGACUAGAAGCUUUAGUUUUUUGUAUGAUCACAGUCCAUUCGUCUCUUGAUGAGCGCUACAAGUUGUCUAAAGAAACAUCCAGAACCUGCCAAAUGCUCCAGUAUUUCUGAAGUGUACUUCCAGCCAUCCGAAAAGUUGUUAGAAUGGAAUAUUCAUCAGGUAAUCCAUUUGGAUACAAAGAUCUGUACAGGGUGAAAAUAAAGCAGAAC